GGCGGAUGUAGCCAAGUGGAUCAAGGCAGUGGAUUGGAUAC
rnacentral:tRNA from 1 species